GCAAAUGUGCAGCUGACACCAAGCUGGGGGUGUGUUGAUGUGCUGGAAGGCAGGAGGGCUCUGCAGAGGGACCUGGCCAAGCUGGAUCCAUGGGCAGAACAGGAUCAGACAUAUUCUGUCAUCCUGGGACAGGGUUCAGGGUAUCAUGAACCAAGUGCCAGACAAGUCCCACUCUUCCCCUAAACACAAAGAUGAGAAGAAGAGCAGUAAGUCUCCGGAGAAGCCAGAGAAGAAGCCUCUGGAAAAACAUGGCAGCCACAAGAGUCUUCAGCGGGAAGGGGAAGUUGCAGAAGGCUCAGUCAGAAGCCAGGAUGCCGGAGUGCCCUGCUUGGACUUCCACGUCACGCGUCGUGAAAAGGUGUUUAGGAGGAUCCUGAAGAGCAAGAAGCUGCCACCACCAAAGCAGAUCCUGCACUCUCUGGGACUGGGACCUCCCAUUCCCCCUGGCUCUCUUUUCUCUGUGGUCCCCUACCCAGAGGAGGACAGAGUCCCCACAGCAACAGAAGACCUCAGACACUUCAUCCUUGUUGAACCUGAGGGUGCUGCUGCAGAAGAUGAUGUGGCCCCAGAGGCAGAGGCACAGGACCAC